AGUGAACGCUGGCGGUAGGCCUAACACAUGCAAGUCGAACGGCAGCACAGUAAGAGCUUGCUCUUACGGGUGGCGAGUGGCGGACGAAUGAGGAAUACAUCGGAAUCUACUUUUUCGUGGGGGAUAACGUAGGGAAACUUACGCUAAUACCGCAUACGACCUACGGGUGAAAGCAGGGGAUCUUCGGACCUUGCGCGAUUGAAUGAGCCGAUGUCGGAUUAGCUAGUUGGCGGGGUAAAGGCCCACCAAGGCGACGAUCCGUAGCUGGUCUGAGAGGAUGAUCAGCCACACUGGAACUGAGACACGGUCCAGACUCCUACGGGAGGCAGCAGUGGGGAAUAUUGGACAAUGGGCGCAAGCCUGAUCCAGCCAUACCGCGUGGGUGAAGAAGGCCUUCGGGUUGUAAAGCCCUUUUGUUGGGAAAGAAAAGCAGCAGGUUAAUACCCCGCUGUUCUGACGGUACCCAAAGAAUAAGCACCGGCUAACUUCGUG
rnacentral:rRNA from 1 species